UCUCGAUUCGUCUAGUGGUUAGGAUACCUGCUUGUCAUCUGACUAUAGUCUGUAGGACGGGAUACGCAGGUGGCCGGGGUUCAAUUCCCCGAUCGAGAG